CUGUUGUUAUGAGGUCAUAUCACAGAAUUACAGAAUGGGUAAGGUGGGAAGUAUCCAUAGUGGAUCAUCUGGUCCAGCCUCCUUUCACAAGCAGGGAUCCCCAGGUUUCUCUUGUACCAAGGAAGAUCAGAACCGGACACAGCACUCCAGAUGUGCCUCACUAGGGGCACACUGCUGGGCUCAUGGUCAGUCUGUUUUCCACUGAGAAUCUCCAGUUCUUCUCCACAGAGCUGCUUUCCAGCAGAUACUAAAAAUUUGCACCUCAGUCCUACAUAGGUGUAGUCCUAAAAAAAUAAGGUCCCUAUGUCCUGACCUUGAGGGAUACAAGUUUUUCUCCUCAGACAGAAGCAGAGACUUCUCAGGAUAUGCACUUUGGAUGGCUGAUGGAGAUGAGCAAAGGUGAAGUUAAGGUACUUUAGAAUUAAAAAUAAAAUAAAAAAAAAUAUUAGGCUUUUCUCUGUUGGUU